GUACUGAGACACGGACCAGACUCCUACGGGAGGCAGCAGUAAGGAAUAUUGGACAAUGGACGAAAGUCUGAUCCAGCCAUGCCGCGUGCAGGAUGAAAGCCCUAUGGGUUGUAAACUGCUUUUAUACAGGAAGAAACACUCGUACGUGUACGAGCUUGACGGUACUGUAAGAAUAAGGACCGGCUAACUCCGUGCCAGCAGCCGCGGUAAUACGGAGGGUCCGAGCGUUAUCCGGAAUCAUUGGGUUUAAAGGGUCCG
rnacentral:rRNA from 1 species